rnacentral:rRNA from 1 species
AGACGGGUGAGAAUCCCGUCCACCGAAUGCCUAAGGUUUCCUGAGGAAGGCUCGUCCGCUCAGGGUUAGUCGGGACCUAAGCCGAGGCCGAAAGGCGUAGGCGAUGGACAACAGGUUGAUAUUCCUGUACCACCUCCUCACCAUUUGAGCAAUGGGGGGACGCAGGAGGAUAGGGUAAGCGCGGUAUUGGAUAUCCGCGUCCAAGCAGUUAGGCUGGGAAAUAGGCAAAUCCGUUUCCCGUGAAGGCUGAGCUGUGAUGGCGAGCGAAAUAUAGUAGCGAAGUUCCUGAUUCCACACUGCCAAGAAAAGCCUCUAGCGAGGUGAGAGGUGCCCGUACCGCAAACCGACACAGGUAGGCGAGGAGAGAAUCCUAAGGUGAUCGAGAGAACUCUCGUUAAGGAACUCGGCAAAAUGACCCCGUAACUUCGGGAGAAGGGGUGCUUCUUAGGG